UACGGAGGGAGCUAGCGUUGUUCGGAAUUACUGGGCGUAAAGCGCGCGUAGGCGGCUUUGUAAGUUAGAGGUGAAAGCCCGGAGCUCAACUCCGGAACUGCCUUUAAAACUGCAUCGCUUGAAUCCAGGAGAGGUGAGUGGAAUUCCGAGUGUAGAGGUGAAAUUCGUAGAUAUUCGGAAGAACACCAGUGGCGAAGGCGGCUCACUGGACCGGAACUGACGCUGAGGCGCGAAAGCGUGGGGAGCAAACGGG
rnacentral:rRNA from 1 species